AAUGAACGUUGGCGGCGUGGAUUAGGCAUGCAAGUCGCGCGAGAAAUUUUCUUCGGAGAAUGGAAAGCGGCGGAAGGGAGAGGAUAAGGUAGAAAUCUGCCCUCGGGACGGGGAUAGCUGCGGGAAACUGCUGGUAAUACCCGAUAAUAUCUUUGGAUCAAAGGUGUGAUUCCGCCUGAGGAUGAGUCUACUUCCUAUUAGCUAGUUGGCAGGGUAAUGGCCUAACAAGGCAACGAUGGGUAGCGGGUGUGAGAGCAUGACCCGCCUCACUGGGACUGAGAACUGCCCAGACACCUAUGGGUGGCUGCAGUCGAGAAUCCUCGGCAAUGGGCGCAAGCCUGACCGAGCGACGCCGCGUGCGGGAUGAAGGCCUUCGGGUUGUAAACCGCUGUCGUAGAGGAGCAAAUGCAUGGGGGUUCUCCCCUGUGCUUGAGUGAUUCUAGGAGGAAGGGGAGGCUAAGCUCGUGCCAGCCGCCGCGGUAA
rnacentral:rRNA from 1 species